rnacentral:lncRNA from 1 species
CAUAAAUCUCACAUGUCUGUAUGGGUCGCCCAUGUAUUCUUGUUGGACUCGUAUCCGACGCAGAUAUGUUAUGGACGAGCAAUCGCCGUAAAUUUAUAUAUAUUUUUUAUUUUAUUUUAUUAUGCAUAUAUAAUAUAAGAUAAUAAAUAUUUUGAAUUUUUAAUGAACACAUGUAAAUUUUUUUGGACAAUAUAAAUAAGAGAUAAUUUCUAAUAUAUUCUUCAAAGUUUCUGAAAUAUCUUAUAUACAUCUACCUUUUUUUGUUUUAAAUAUAUUCCUUGUAUAUUUCUCUAUUAUUAAAAAAUAAUCCCGCUAUUAAUACCUAUUAAUCAUCUUAGAUUAAAUCCGAGUUAAAUUUUUAUAGUGUGGAUCAUAAGCGCUAACCAACUAUACCAAAAGCACGUGCUGAUAGGAAGGGCGCACCAUCCAUUGUACUUAAGGACUCAACAACAGCGCACGAGUUUCGACCUGACUCAACCUAUAUAUCUAAAUUUUGGAUCUAUUGUUAGACCUCUUGCAGUUAGGUCUCUUGUGGACCGCAUCUCCACUCAACUUAUUAAACUCAUCCAACUCAACUAAUUAGUUUUCUAGGUCUAUUGUCACGGGGCAUAAAGUUGGACCUAUUUAGCCGAAUAAUAAAUUGCCGACAAAAAGAAGUCAAAAUAUCACUUUUGUCCGUAAUUUAUAGGUAAAUAAGAAAAACCAGUAACGAAGAAGAAUAUAUAUCUGAAAAGGCAAAAACCAAAAUAUUUCAUUUGCCCCUAAUUUAAUAGCAAAUAAGAAAAGCUGGUGAUGAUACAAUUGCGUAUUUGAAAAGAAAAAAUAGUAAUUUUACAGAGAUAACGACUGUUUCUGUCAGUUCAGUAAUAAAAUUUAACUCCACAGGUACAUUUGAAAUAAUUUGGAGCCUUAAAAGGAUUUUUUUUUUUAUUAACCUUCUAAGAUGGAUAAAUAAAAAGGUCGAAAAUUUUUCAAAAAUAUAUAAGUAAUUGCUCUAUAAAUAAAUUAUAUAUGAUAGAGAAUUUCUCUUCUUAAAAUAUAUGAAAUAUCAAUGAAAAUUUUAUUAUUUUUUAUUCGUAUAAAAAAUAUAAGUAACACAAUAUUUUAGAAAAGUUAAUAUUGCAAACAUAAUAAUAAUAAUAAUAAUAAUAAUAAUAACAAUAAUAAUAUUUUAUUAGUAAUGUUCAUAUCGUAUUCAUAUUCUAUUUUUAGAAAUUAUCUAGUCGUCGUAUUCCGUGUUCGUGUCUGUAAUACUAGGCCCUUCUCAUAAGCUUUUUUUCUUCCUUUUCUUCUCCU